GAUGAACGCUGGCGGCGUGCCUAGUACAUGCAAGUCGAGCGAACGGACGAGAAGCUUGCUUCUCUGAUGUUAGCGGCGGACGGGUGAGAAACACGUGGAUAACCUACCUAUAAGACUGGGAUAACUUCGGGAAACCGGAGCUAAUACCGGAUGAUAUUUUGAACCGCAUGGUUCAAAAGUGAAAGACGGUCUUGCUGUCACUUAUAGAUGGAUCCGCGCUGCAUUAGCUAGUUGGUAAGGUAACGGCUUACCAAGGCAACGAUGCAUAGCCGACCUGAGAGGGUGAUCGGCCACACUGGAACUGAGACACGGUCCAGACUCCUACGGGAGGCAGCAGUAGGGAAUCUUCCGCAAUGGGCGAAAGCCUGACGGAGCAACGCCGCGUGAGUGAUGAAGGUCUUCGGAUCGUAAAACUCUGUUAUUAGGGAAGAACAUAUGUGUAAGUAACUGUGCACAUCUUGACGGUACCUAAUCAGAAAGCCACGGCUAACUACGUG
rnacentral:rRNA from 1 species